rnacentral:lncRNA from 1 species
UACCCAGAAGAGUGGCUCAAGUUCACAUUCAGAAUUUAUUUGUUGAAAGAGUAUCUCCACUUUAUCACAAUCGAGCACUUCCAAUUCUUUCAGAAGUGGCCAGCUUGAACUAAACCUUCUAGAGCAAAAUCUUUUGAGUUGGUGUAAACCGGAGAGUGUGAGAGAGGUAAGGUUAGGGAAUGAGAGUAAAGGUGCUGCUUCAUCUUCAUUUUCAUUGGCAACAAUUGCCUCCACUCCACUCUCCGAUAUAUAAAGGUCCUCAAGUUGCACAAGAGCACUCGCCACAGAAACCGGAAAAAGGUUUAGCAAUUUGUUGCAUCCCCUUCCUUGCAAUUUCCUUAAUUUGGAAAAUGAAUUUGCUGGAAGUUGGUCAGGCCACAAUGCUCUUAUAUUAUCUAGUCCACGUACAGACAAGGACUCCAAGCCUGGGAGUGCAACCUGUGCAAUUGAUGAUCCCUUUAGUUAAUAAUAUAUACAUAUACAUUCCUAAUAAUUAGACACAUGUAAAUAGAAAAUAAGAGGUUAAAGGAGAAUAUAUCAGUAUAACAAAGCACAAAAUUUAAACUAGAUUCAAGAAGAUCAAGAAAGAGAAAAGAAAAGAAAAAGCCUCCAGAUUUUGAAGAUACAAUGAAACUUAAAAAAAAAAAAAAAAAAACUUCCAAAUUUUCCUUUCGAAAUGAGGUAAUAAGAGGAUUUUUUUUUUCUUUUUUCUUUGCCUCUCUUUCAAAUUUGAUUAACUUCUAUGGAAAACGUAUUUUAACUAGUUAUGGAAAACCGAUUUUUUUUUUUUUAACUUUUAUAUAAGAUACAAGUAAUACUUUAAAAAAAUUGUGAUAUCUAAAUAAUUUUUUGAAAAAUUAUUUUUAAAGAAAUAAGGUAAAUCUAUACUUUUUGUACAAGAUGUUCUACCUUUAUAUACAAAUUUCUGAUUUUUUUUUUAAAAGUGUAUCCAAAUGGACACUAAACUAUCUAGUUUUUAAUUGUUACAACUUUGAAUUGGAUUUUAUGGUAAACUAAUUUACAAGUUAAUGCAUGGAUUCAUCUUAGAUUCCAUCUAUAAAUUUUUUUAAUUAUCUAAUAUAAGACAUUAUAUUAAUGAGUUGAAUUAAUAAUGUAAUUAUAAUUUAUUUGGCAACUUUCUUCCUUCAAAUAUAUAAAAUGAAAAUAAAGUUUAAAAAAUAAAAAAAAUGAAAAAAAUAAAAAAUAAAAAAUGAUUUUUUUUAUAGUUUUUCUAAGAUGAUUUUGUAGAGUACUGUUAGUUUAUAGUUUUAACUUUAUUUCAUUUUACUUUUAACUUUAUUUAUUGAGGUAUGUUCUUUUUUGAAACUCUUGUUUAGAUUUUAUAGAGAAUAUAAAUUUUAAGAAAAAAAAUGAAAUUUAAAUAAAAUAAGAAUAAAGAAAGGCAAAAGGUGGAUGAAUUUUUUUAAGGCAAAAGUUUGAUAACUUGGCACUAUCAUGUAAUGGGUGAAAUUUUUAAAUACUCAACAAAGGCUAGUGAAAUUUAAAUUAAAAGCUUGACAUGUACCUUUUCGACCAAAAUCUUUGGAGUUGGUGUAAAGUUUUGAGUAUGAGAGAGGUUAGUCUAGGGAAUAUUAUUGCACAUUAGUUCAAAUAAAACAUCAACAUUUUUUUUUUGUUAAAUUCUAAAUGAACACCGCUAUAAAUUAAUGCGAUUUUGUAUGCUCAAUUAAAUAAACUUGUUCUUAAGGCAUCACAUGAAGUGUUUAAGUCUAAUUAAUAUUAAUUAAAAAUGAUUAUAUUAAAAAAAAUCCAAAGUAAUUUAUUUUUAUCAUAAGUCAAGUAGGAUAGUUUUAUAAAUAAUUGGUUCUAGUUUCUAGUACUAUUGUACACAAUCGCUAUGUUUGUUGCACCUCCAAAAAAUCUACUACUUGUAAUUAAUUGUAUAUUAUUCUCCAUAUUCACAUCAGUUUAUGUAGUAUGAUUAAUUUAGCAACAAAAUAUAAGUUUACUUGAAAUCGCUUUAAAUUCCUAUGAUAUUAAAGUUUAAGAUUAAAACAAUGUAACAUUAGCCAAAAAGAUUAAGAUCUAUAAUGUAACAUAUAAUAUUUAGAAAAUUCAAGGAAGGGUAAACUCGCACCUGUUCUACCCAGAAGAGUGGCUCAAGUUCACAUUCAUAAUUUAUUUGUUGAAAGAGUAUCUCCACUUUAUCACAAUCGAGCACUUCCAAUUCUUUCAGAAGUGGCCAGCUUGAACUAAACCUUCUAGAGAAAAAUCUUUUGAGUUGGUGUAAACCGGAGAGUGUAAGAGAGGUAAGGUUAGGGAAUAAGAGUAAAAGUGCUGCUUCAUCUUCAUUUUCAUUGGCAACAAUUGCCUCCACUCCACUUUCCGAUAUAUAUAGGUCCUCAAGUUGCACAAGAGCACUCGCCACAGAAACCGGAAAAAGGUUUAGCAAUUUGUUGCAUCCCCUUACUUGCAAUUUCCUUAAUUUGGAAAAUGAAUUUGCUGGAAGUUGGUCAGACCACAAUGCUCUUAUAUUAUCUAGUCCGCGUACAGACAAGGACUCCAAACCUGGGAGUGCAACCUGUGCAAUUGAUGAUCCCUUUAGUUAAUAAUAUAUACAUAUACAUUCCUAAUAAUUAGACACAUGUAAAUAGAAAAUAAGAGGUUAAAGGAGAAUAUAUCAGUAUAACAAAGCACAAAAUUUAAACUAGAUUCAAGAAGAUCAAGAAAGAGAAAAGAAAAGAAAAAGCCUCCAGAUUUUGAAGAUACAAUGAAACUUAACAAAAAAAAAAAAAAACCACCAAAUUUUCCUUUCGAAAUGAGGUAAUAAGAGGAUUUUUUUUUUUUCUUUUUUCUUUGCCUCUCUUUCAAAUUUGAUUAACUUCUAUGGAAAACGUAUUUUAACUAGUUAUGGAAAACAUAUUUUUUUUUUAAAAAACUUUUCUAUAAGAUACAAGUAAUACUUUAAAAAAAUUGUGAUAUCUAAAAAAUUUUUUGAAAAAUUAUUUUUAAAGAAAUAAGGUAAAUCUAUACUUUUUGUAUAAGAUGUUCUACCUUUAUAUACAAAUUUCUGAUUUUUUUUUUAAAAGUGUAUCCAAAUGGACACUAAACUAUCUAGUUUUUAAUUGUUACAACUUUGAAUUGGAUUUUAUGGUAAACUAAUUUACAAGUUAAUGCAUGGAUUCAUCUUAGAUUCCAUCUAUAAAUUUUUUUAAUUAUCUAAUAUAAGACAUUAUAUUAAUGGGUUGAAUUAAUAAUGUAAUUAUAAUUUAUUUGGCAAGUUUCUUCCUUCAAAUAUAUAAAAUGAAAAUAAAUUUUAAAAAAUAAAAAAAAUGAAAAAAAUAAAAAAUAAAAAAAGAUUUUUUUUAUAGUUUUUCUAAGAUGAUUUUGUAGAGUACUGUUAGUUUAUAGUUUUAACUUUAUUUCAUUUUACUUUUAACUUUAUUUAUUGAGGUAUGUUCUUUUUUGAAACUCUUGUUUAGAUUUUAUAGAGGAUAUAAAUUUUCAGAAAAAAAAAAUUAAAUUUAAAUAAAAUAGGAAUAAAGAAAGGCAAAAGGUGGAUGAAUUUUUUUAAGGCAAAAGUUUGAUAACUUGGCACUAUCAUGUAAUGGGUGAAAUUUUUAAAUACUCAACAAAGGCUAGUGAAAUUUAAAUUAAAAGCUUGACAUGUACCUUUUCGACCAAAAUCUUUGGAGUUGGUGUAAAGUUUUGAGUAUGAGAGAGGUUAGUCUAGGGAAUAUUAUUGCACAUUAGUUCAAAUAAAACAUCAACAUUUUUUUUUUUGUUAAAUUCUAAAUGAACACCACUAUAAAUUAAUGCGAUUUGUAUGCUCAAUUAAAUAAACUCGUUCUUAAGGCAUCACAUGAAGUGUUUAAGUCUAAUUAAUAUUAAUUAAAAAUGAUUAUUUUAAAAAAAUCCAAAGUAAUUUAUUUUUAUCAUAAGUCAAGUAGGAUAGUUUUAUAAAUAAUUGGUUCUAGUUUCUAGUAUUAUUGUACACAAUCGCUAUGUUUGUUGCACCUCCAAAAAAUCUACUACUUGUAAUUAAUUGUAUAUUAUUCUCCAUAUUCACAUCAGUUUAUGUAGUAUGAUUAAUUUAGCAACAAAAUAUAAGUUUACUUGAAAUCGCUUUAAAUUCCUAUGAUAUUAAAGUUUAAGAUUAAAACAAUGUAACAUUAGCCAAAAAGACUAAGAUCUAUAAUGUAACAUAUAAAAUUUAGAAAAUUCAAGGAAGGGUAAACUCGCACCUGUUCUACCCAGAAGAGUGGCUCAAGUUCACAUUCAGAAUUUAUUUGUUGAAAGAGUAUCUCCACUUUAUCACAAUCGAGCACUUCCAAUUCUUUCAGAAGUGGCCAGCUUGAACUAAACCUUCUAGAGCAAAAUCUUUUGAGUUGGUGUAAACCGGAGAGUGUGAGAGAGGUAAGGUUAGGGAAUGAGAGUAAAGGUGCUGCUUCAUCUUCAUUUUCAUUGGCAACAAUUGCCUCCACUCCACUCUCCGAUAUAUAAAGGUCCUCAAGUUGCACAAGAGCACUCGCCACAGAAACCGGAAAAAGGUUUAGCAAUUUGUUGCAUCCCCUUACUUGCAAUUUCCUUAAUUUGGAAAAUGAAUUUGCUGGAAGUUGGUCAGGCCACAAUGCUCUUAUAUUAUCUAGUCCGCGUACAGACAAGGACUCCAAACCUGGGAGUGCAACCUGUGCAAUUGAUGAUCCCUUUAGUUAAUAAUAUAUACAUAUACAUUCCUAAUAAUUAGACACAUGUAAAUAGAAAAUAAGAGGUUAAAGGAGAAUAUAUCAGUAUAACAAAGCACAAAAUUUAAACUCUAUUCAAGAAGAUCCAGAAAGAGAAAAGAAAACGCCUUUUGAUUUUGAAGAUCCAAUGAAACUUUAAAAAAAAAAAAAAAAACCUCCAAAUUUUGCUUUCCAAAUGAGGUAAUAGGAGGAUAUUUUUAUUUUAUUUUUUCUUUGCCUCUCUUUCAAAUUUGAUUAACUUCCAUGGAAAACGUAUUUUAACUAGCCAUGGAAAAUGGAUUUUUUUUUUAAAACUUUUAUAUAAGAUACAAGAACUCUUAGAGGGUUACAUUAUGUAAGUAAUACUUUAAAAAAAAUGUUUAAAAAUAUUGUGAUAUCCAAAAAUUUUACUACCUCGGAUUUUAAAUUUUAAAAAAAUUAUUUUUAAAGAAAUAAGGUAAAUCUAUACUUUUUCGUAUAAGAUAUUCUACCUUUAUAUACAAAUUUCUGAUUUUUUUUUUAAAGUGUAUCCAAAUGGACACUAAACUAUCUAGUUUCGAAUUUUUACAACUUUGAAUUGGAUUUUAUGGUAAACUAAUUGACAAUAUAACGCAUGGAUUCAUCUUAGAUUCCAUCUAUAAAUUUUUUAAUUAUCUAAUAUAAGACAUUAUAUUAAUGGGUUGAAUUAAUAAUGUAAUUAUAAUUUAUUUGGCAACUUUCUUCCUUCAAAUAUAUAAGACGAAAAUAUAUUUUAAAAAAUAAAAAAGAAUGAUAAAAAAUAGAAAAUAAAAAUAGCUUAUUUUAUUGUUUUUCUAAGAUGAUUUUGUAGAGUGUUAGUUUAUAGUUUAACUUUAUUUCAUUUUACUUUUAACAUUAUUUAUUGAGGUAUGUUCUUUUUUGAAACUCUUGUUUAGAUUUUAUAGAGAAUAUAAAUUUUAAGAAAAAAAAUGAAAUUUAAAUAAAAUAAGAAUAAAGAAAGGCAAAAGGUGGAUGAAUUUUUUGAAGGCAAAAGUUUGAUAAUUUGGCACUGUCAUGUAAUGGGUGAAAUUUUUAAAUACUCAACAAAGGCUAGUGAAAUUUAAAUUAAAACCUUGACAUGUACCUUUUCGACCAAAAUCUUUGGAGUUGGUGUAAAGUUUUGAGUAUGAGAGAGGUUAGUCUAGGGAAUAUUAUUGCACAUUAGUUCAAAUAAAACAUCAACAUUUUUUUUUGUUAAAUUCUAAAUGAACACCACUAUAAAUUAAUGCGAUUUUGUAUGCUCAAUUAAAUAAACUCGUUCUUAAGGCAUCACAUGAAGUGUUUAAGUCUAAUUAAUAUUAAUUAAAAAUGAUUAUAUCAAAAAAAAUCCAAAGUAAUUUUUUUUUAUCAUAAGUCAAGUAGGAUAGUUUUAUAAAUAAUUGGUUCUAGUUUCUAGUAUUAUUGUACACAAUCGCUAUGUUUGUUGCACCUCCAAAAAAUCUACUACUUGUAAUUAAUUGUAUAUUAUUCUCCAUAUUCACAUCAGUUUAUGUAGUAUGAUUAAUUUAGCAACAAAAUAUAAGUUUACUUGAAAUCGCUUUAAAUUCCUAUGAUAUUAAAGUUUAAGAUUAAAACAAUGUAACAUUAGCCAAAAAGACUAAGAUCUAUAAUGUAACAAAUAAAAUUUAGAAAAUUCAAGGCAGGGUAAACUCGCACCUGUUCUACCCAGAAGAGUGGCUCAAGUUCACAUUCAGAAUUUAUUUGUUGAAAGAGUAUCUCCACUUUAUCACAAUCGAGCACUUCCAAUUCUUUCAGAAGUAGCCAGCUUGAACUAAACCUUCUAGAGCAAAAUCUUUUGAGUUGGUGUAAACCGGAGAGUGUGAGAGAGGUAAGGUUAGGGAAUAAGAGUAAAGGUGCUGCUUCAUCUUCAUUUUCAUUGGCAACAAUUGCCUCCACUCCACUCUCCGAUAUAUAUAGGUCCUCAAGUUGCACAAGAGCACUCGCCACAGAAACCCGAAAAAGGUUUAGCAAUUUGUUGAAUCCCCUUACAUGCAAUUUCCUUAAUUUGGAAAAUGAAUUUGUUGGAAGUUGGUCAGGCCACAAUGCUCUUAUAUUAUCCAGUCCGCAUACAUACAAGGACUCCAAGCCUUGGAGUGCAACCUGUGCAAUUGAUAAUCCCUUUGGUUAAUAAUAUAUACAUAUACAUUCCUAAUGAUUAGACACAUGUAAAUAGAAAAUAAGAGGUUAAAGGAGAAUAUAUCAGUAUAACAAAGCACAAAAUUUAAACUAGAUUAAAGAAGAUCAAGAAAGAGAAAAGAAAAGAAAAAGCCUCCAGAUUUUGAAGAUACAAUGAAACUUAAAAAAAAAAAAAAAAAACCUCCAAAUUUUCCUUUCGAAAUGAGGUAAUAAGAGGAUUUUUUUUUUCUUUUUUCUUUGCCUCUCUUUCAAAUUUGAUUAACUUCUAUGGAAAACGUAUUUUAACUAGUUAUGGAAAACGGAUUUUUUUUUUUAAAAACUUUUAUAUAAGAUACAAGUAAUACUUUAAAAAAAUUGUGAUAUCUAAAAAAUUUUUUGAAAAAUUAUUUUUAAAGAAAUAAGGUAAAUCUAUACUUUUUGUAUAAGAUGUUCUACCUUUGUAUUCAAAUUUCUGAUUUUUUUUUUUUAAAGUGUAUCCAAAUGCACACUAAACUAUCUAGUUUUUAAUUGUUACAACUUUGAAUUGGAUUUUAUGGUAAACUAAUUUACAAGUUAAUGCAUAGAUUCAUCUUAGAUUCCAUCUAUAAAUUUUUUUAAUUAUCUAAUAUAAGACAGUAUAUUAAUGGGUUGAAUUAAUAAUGUAAUUAUAAUUUAUUUGGCAACUUUCUUCCUUCAAAUAUAUAAAAUGAAAAUAAAUUUUAAAAAAUAAAAAAUAAAAAAAAGAUUUUUUUUAUAGUUUUUCUAAGAUGAUUUUGUAGAGUUCUGUUAGUUUAUAGUUUUCACUUUAUUUAUUGAGGUAUGUUCUUUUUUGAAACUCUUGUUUAGAUUUUAUUGAGAAUAUAAAUUUUAAGAAAAAAAAUAAAAUUUAAAUAAAAUAAGAAUAAAGAAAGGCAAAAGCUGGAUGAAUUUUUUUAAGGCAAAAGUUUGAUAAUUUGGCACUCUCAUGUAAUGGGUGAAAUUUUUAAAUACUCAACAAAGGCUAGUGAAAUUUAAAUUAAAACCAUGACAUGUACCUUUUAGACCAAAAUCUUUGGAGUUGGUGUAAUGUUUUGAGUAUGAGAGAGGUUAGUCUAGGGAAUAUUAUUGCACAUUAGUUCAAAUAAAACAUCAACAUUUUUUUUUGUUAAAUUCUAAAUGAACACCACUAUAAAUUAAUGCGAUUUUGUAUGCUCAAUUAAAUAAACUCGUUCUUAAGGCAUCACAUGAAGUGUUUAAGUCUAAUUAAUAUUAAUUAAAAAUGAUUAUAGUAAAAAAAAUCCAAAGUAAUUUUUUUUUAUCAUAAGUCAAGUAGGAUAGUUUUAUAAAUAAUUGGUUCUAGUUUCUAGUAUUAUUGUAGACAAUCGCUAUGUUUGUUGCACCUCCAAAAAAUCUACUACUUGUAAUUAAUUGUAUAUUAUUCUCCAUAUUCACAUCAGUUUAUGUAGUAUGAUUAAUUUAGCAACAAAAUAUAAGUUUACUUGAAAUGGCUUUAAAUUCCUAUGAUAUUAAAGUUUAAGAUUAAAACAAUGUAACAUUAGCAAAAAAGAUUAAGAUCUAUAAUGUAACAAAUAAAAUUUAGAAAAUUCAAGGCAGGGUAAACUCGCACCUGUUCUACCCAGAAGAGUGGCUCAAGUUCACAUUCAGAAUUUAUUUGUUGAAAGAGUAUCUCCACUUUAUCACAAUCGAGCACUUCCAAUUCUUUCAGAAGUAGCCAGCUUGAACUAAACCUUCUAGAGCAAAAUCUUUUGAGUUGGUGUAAACCGGAGAGUGUGAGAGAGGUAAGGUUAGGGAAUAAGAGUAAAGGUGCUGCUUCAUCUUCAUUUUCAUUGGCAACAAUUGCCUCCACUCCACUCUCUGAUAUAUAUAGGUCCUCAAGUUGCACAAGAGCACUCGCCACAGAAACCCGAAAAAGGUUUAGCAAUUUGUUGAAUCCCCUUACAUGCAAUUUCCUUAAUUUGGAAAAUGAAUUUGUUGGAAGUUGGUCAGGCCACAAUGCUCUUAUAUUAUCCAGUCCGCAUACAUACAAGGACUCCAAGCCUGGGAGUGCAACCUGUGCAAUUGAUAAUCCCUUUGGUUAAUAAUAUAUACAUAUACAUUCCUAAUAAUUAGACACAUGUAAAUAGAAAAUAAGAGGUUAAAGGAGAAUAUAUCAGUAUAACAAAGCACAAAAUUUAAACUAGAUUAAAGAAGAUCAAGAAAGAGAAAAGAAAAGAAAAAGCCUCCAGAUUUUGAAGAUACAAUGAAACUUAAAAAAAAAAAAAAAAAACCUCCAAAUUUUCCUUUCGAAAUGAGGUAAUAAGAGGAUUUUUUUUUUAUUUUUUCUUUGCCUCUCUUUCAAAUUUGAUUAACUUCUAUGGAAAACGCAUUUUAACUAGUUAUGGAAAACGGAUUUUUUUUUUUUAAAACUUUUAUAUAAGAUACAAGUAAUACUUUAAAAAAAUUGUGAUAUCUAAAAAAUUUUUUGAAAAAUUAUUUUUAAAGAAAUAAGGUAAAUCUAUACUUUUUGUAUAAGAUGUUCUACCUUUGUAUUCAAAUUUCUGAUUUUUUUUUUUAAAGUGUAUCCAAAUGCACAAUAAACUACCUAGUUUUUAAUUGUUACAACUUUGAAUUGGAUUUUAUGGUAAACUAAUUUACAAGUUAAUGCAUGGAUUCAUCUUAGAUUCCAUCUAUAAAUUUUUUUAAUUAUCUAAUAUAAGACAUUAUAUUAAUGGGUUGAAUUAAUAAUGUAAUUAUAAUUUAUUUGGCAACUUUCUUCCUUCAAAUAUAUAAAAUGAAAAUAAAUUUUAAAAAAUAAAAAAAAUGAAAAAAUAAAAAAUAAAAAAAAGAUUUUUUUUAUAGUUUUUCUAAGAUGAUUUUGUAGAGUACUGUUAGUUUAUAGUUUUCACUUUAUUUAUUGAGGUAUGUUCUUUUUUGAAACUCUUGUUUAGAUUUUAUUGAGAAUAUAAAUUUUAAGAAAAAAAAUGAAAUUUAAAUAAAAUAAGAAUAAAGAAAGGCAAAAGGUGGAUGAAUUUUUUUACGGCAAAAGUUUGAUAAUUUGGCACUAUCAUGUAAUGGGUGAAAUUUUUAAAUACUCAACAAAGGCUAGUGAAAUUUAAAUUAAAACCUUGACAUGUACCUUUUAGACCAAAAUCUUUGGAGUUGGUGUAAAGUUUUGAGUAUGAGAGAGGUUAGUCUAGGGAAUAUUAUUGCACAUUAGUUCAAAUAAAACAUCAACAUUUUUUUUUGUUAAAUUCUAAAUGAACACCACUAUAAAUUAAUGCGAUUUUGUAUGCUCAAUUAAAUAAACUCGUUCUUAAGGCAUCACAUGAAGUAUUUAAGUCUAAUUAAUAUUAAUUAAAAAUGAUUAUAGUAAAAAAAAUCCAAAGUAAUUUUUUUUUAUCAUAAGUCAAGUAGGAUAGUUUUAUAAAUAAUUGGUUCUAGUUUCUAGUAUUAUUGUAGACAAUCGCUAUGUUUGUUGCACCUCCAAAAAAUCUACUACUUGUAAUUAAUUGUAUAUUAUUCUCCAUAUUCACAUCAGUUUAUGUAGUAUGAUUAAUUUAGCAACAAAAUAUAAGUUUACUUGAAAUGGCUUUAAAUUCCUAUGAUAUUAAAGUUUAAGAUUAAAACAAUGUAACAUUAGCCAAAAAGAUUAAGAUCUAUAAUGUAACAUAUAAAAUUUAGAAAAUUCAAGGAAGGGUAAACUCGCACCUGUUCUACCCAGAAGAGUGGCUCAAGUUCACAUUCAGAAUUUAUUUGUUGAAAGAGUAUCUCCACUUUAUCACAAUAGAGCACUUCCAAUUCUUUCAGAAGUGGCCAGCUUGAACUAAACCUUCUAGAGCAAAAUCUUUUGAGUUGGUGUAAACCGGAGAGUGUGAGAGAGGUAAGGUUAGGGAAUAAGAGUAAAGGUGCUGCCUCAUCUUCAUUUUCAUUGGCAACAAUUGCCUCCACUCCACUCUGAAAUAUAUUUAGGUUCUCAAGUUGCACAAGAGCACUCGCCACAGAAACCGGAAAAAGGUUUAGCAAUUUGUUGCAUCCCCUUACUUGCAAUUCCCUUAAUUUGGAAAAUGAAUUUGCUGGAAGUUGGUCAGGCCACAAUGCUCUUAUAUUAUCUAGUCCGCAUACAGAAAAGGACUCCAAGCCUGGGAGUGCAACCUGU